rnacentral:rRNA from 1 species
GAUGAACGCUGGCGGCGUGCCUAAUACAUGCAAGUCGAGCGAAUGGAUAAAGAGCUUGCUCUUAUGAAGUUAGCGGCGGACGGGUGAGUAACACGUGGGUAACCUGCCCAUAAGACUGGGAUAACUCCGGGAGACCGGGGCUAAUACCGGAUAACAUUUUGAACCGCAUGGUUCGAAAUUGAAAGGCGGCUUCGGCUGUCACUUAUGGAUGGACCCGCGUCGCAUUAGCUAGUUGGUGAGGUAACGGCUCACCAAGGCAACGAUGCGUAGCCGACCUGGGAGGGUGAUCGGCCACACUGGGACUGAGACACGGCCCAGACUCCUACGGGAGGCAGCAGUAGGGAAUCUUCCGCAAUGGACGAAAGUCUGACGGAGCAACGCCGCGUGAGUGAUGAAGGCUUUCGGGUCGUAAAACUCUGUUGUUAGGGAAGAACAAGUGCUAGUUGAAUAAGCUGGCACCUUGGCGGUACCUAACCAGAAAGCCACGGCUAACUACGUGCCAGCAGCCGCAGUAA